CCGAAUCCUGCCCAGCUAACAUAAACGUGCAACAUUCUUCGACGAUGUCUUUAUCGGAGAAGCAAGGAUGUUUUUCGUUUAUUUCCACCAUGUAUUCCAGCAAAGACAUUUUUCUUGUCUCUUCUGUCUGAUCAUCAGGGUCAUUCCAAGAAAUAAAACGCAACGUUCAAAAUACAUAUACGCUCAAAAAUAUUUGUACAGCAGUAAGAAGCUUUUCAAUGAGAACUUAUGACUCGUUCGCUAACUCUGGAUACUGGAUUAACUUAAAAUAUAUUUCAUAUGUUAAUUGAUAUUGAGAACUUCGCCAGACAUCUGCUUUUCAGCAAUAUACCAACAAGUAUAGCAAGUCGGAUAAUAUUAAUAUAUAUGACAAUGUUUUAGUAUUUUACAUGUUGUGCAAUAUUUUAAGAGUCUAGUAGAAUGUUAAUAAUAGACCAUAAUAUAUUAGCGAUUUUUUAAUUUAAAGGAUUUUGCCAUAUAUUAUCACUGUAUGAUCGUAAGAAAGUAUUACCGAAUAUUUGAUAUAAAAUAAAUAAAAGUUUUGCGAAUUAUUCACGAUAUUUUCCAAAAGGGUAUGAAUGCUUCCACCAAGAGAUUAUUGACUGUGCAACUUAUGCGCAAAAUGCACUUGCAUGGAAUUAUGCAAAUUGAAUAAGACAUAAUUUAUAGACGACCUCACAAAGUAUCACCUUUUCCAAGUACAAAUUUUAUGCUUCUGUAUAAUUACUCGCAAAUAACAAAGUAUAUGACAAAAGAUUAAUGAUCGUGAAUAAUGUAAAAUAUGUACGUUUCAUUUGAAUACGAAAUAAUACGAUAGCCCUUGUAAUUAUUAAUUGUUAGUAAACCUUAUCAGGAACACAAUUAUGACAAUGGAAGAGAAGAUAUCGUCUGUAAUAGUAUAUUUGAUAAAAGAAUGGAAUAUUUAUAAUUUCAAAUUUUAUACAUUUAUAUUAUAUAUUUUUAUAUAUUAAUUGUAAUUAUAAAAUAUAUUUACAAUUUACAAAAGACGUCGAAAGGAAGAGAUAAGUAAACAGCUAUUUAUGAAAUUUAUGGAGAAAGAAUUAAUUUAUAUUUUCGCAUCACUUAACGUCUUCAUUUAUAAUUUAACAUUAAACACGUCUUUACUUACCACUCAAGAUAUUGUAAACGGAAUCAUUAAUGAAAGUAGUAAUAUUGA